AGCCUCGGUACCAGGUGAUGGUGGGAGUGGGAGAGCCCUUGGCAACACAGGUUAUUGUCACCACAUCAUUCUCCUCUAUUGUGACAGUGUCAUCAAAGCUUAUGAUGUGAGGCCUCUCACCAUGCUCUGGAAACAAAGAAAAUGAAACCAACAUCAUCAUACCUAGAAUAGUUGGAGUGAUUUCUGGCUCAUGGAUGUGGUCAGCCUCGUUUUCAUCACUGACAGGACUCACACAUGAGUACCCACAACCAUUGUAGCAACACUUCAGAGUGCCAUCACAGGCGGCAUCAUUCUGGCACUCGUUAUCACACUGAAGCACAGAACUCGUUGCAUGCAUUAAAGGUCUUAAAGCGGUUUUGGUUUCCGCCACAUCCACCAUACAGAAACAUAACACAAGAGCCAUGCGUUUUGCUGAAGUGCCAGCGUUUGUAACCCUCAGCACAGGGUCCAGCAUCUUCAUCUAAUUCACAGAUCACUUGGGAAAAAAUAAGGCCACCAUAAGUAAAAUGCCUGCAGCGCCUCACUGAGGCAUCAUAGUACCACUUGGGCAGGGCUUCAUUGCAUGGACCAGGAUUUGCUGUAGUAAUGCUCUGGAGUGCUCACCUUGGUUGCGGUAUUUGCCACACUGCCGCUCACAAAGCUCCACACUCUGGAACCUGUUAGCAUUGCCAGCACAGCCACCAUAAAAGAAGGCAAUACAGCUCUCGGUGUCAACAUCAUAGUACCAGUUGGAUGUUGCUGCUCACCACUACCACAACACCAGCAAGUGGAAUGGUGAAUCACCAUCACCAGGAUUUGUUAAUUAUAAUUUACUGAUGACAUCCUAGUCACUUCUUAUUAUAUGGCUACAAUGGUGGUGAUAUGUGAUCAUGGACUAAUUUAAUUAUCCCUCGGCUUUUCCACAGGUACUGUGAAAAAGUACUGUGCACCACCUCAUCACUAUGCUUAACCAACUGUGUAAGACUCAGUUGUUGGCUUUGAUGCUUAUGAAGAACUGCCCUGUGUGCUAAGAUUUUUUUUUUUUUUUUUUUUUUUUGACGAAAAUUGCCUCAUGGAGGAGAAACGAGUCUUUUUCCAGAGUUUGAGGAAAAUUUGCAUGUGCUUUUUGUUGAAUUAUUGUAUUUUGGAUUUGCUUUGCUUGUUUCAUACAUGUAUAUUCUGAGAGUUAAAAUAUACUCUCGCUACCAUUUACUCAGCCUCUCCUUUCAUUUUCAACCCUUCAUCUGUCUUACCUGCUCUUAUCUUUCAUGUCUCAUGAGCACUUCAGUCUCCCCUCUAGUCUUUUCCCCAUCAUCUG